AAGAGGCAGAGAUUGCCAUAACCUUACACUCAGUUAAAGCCUGCAGUGACUGUAAGGGGGAAUUUGAGAUGCACAGUGCUCAAACAAUCCCACUGAACACACUUCCCAUACGCUGGCGUCACCCUGCAUGCUGGACAGACUUCUCAGAGCUGCCAUGGCAUUACAGAAGGAAGACAGAAGGAAAGAGCCCCUGAUCUGAGAUAACAAGUGACCCCAUAAAACUGAAGGGAAAUCAGCUGAACCUACCACAAAGCACGGGGAACAGCCCUAAAUCCUGCUCAGUUCUGAAUACAAAGGCUCCAGUCUACUGUUUUGAAAGAAUCCCACAGCCAAUAAACAAAAAGUGAUUUUC